rnacentral:rRNA from 1 species
UACGGGGGGGGCAAGCGUUGUUCGGAAUUACUGGGCGUAAAGGGCUUGUAGGUGGCCAACUAAGUCAGACGUGAAAUCCCUCGGCUUAACCGGGGAACUGCGUCUGAUACUGGAUGGCUUGAGUGUGGGAGAGGGAUGCGGAAUUCCAGGUGUAGCGGUGAAAUGCGUAGAUAUCGGGAGGAACACCAGUGGCGAAGGCGACUACCUGGCCUGUUUCUUGACGCUGAGGCGCGAAAGCUGAGGGGAGCAAACGGGG